rnacentral:rRNA from 1 species
CUGAACGCUGGCGGCAGGCCUAACACAUGCAAGUCGAGCGGAUGAAGGGAGCUUGCUCCUGGAUUCAGCGGCGGACGGGUGAGUAAUGCCUAGGAAUCUGCCUGGUAGUGGGGGAUAACGUCCGGAAACGGGCGCUAAUACCGCAUACGUCCUGAGGGAGAAAGUGGGGGAUCUUCGGACCUCACGCUAUCAGAUGAGCCUAGGUCGGAUUAGCUGGUUGGUGGGGUAAAGGCCUACCAAGGCGACGAUCCGUAACUGGUCUGAGAGGAUGAUCAGUCACACUGGAACUGAGACACGGUCCAGACUCCUACGGGAGGCAGCAGUGGGGAAUAUUGGACAAUGGGCGAAAGCCUGAUCCAGCCAUGCCGCGUGUGUGAAGAAGGUCUUCGGAUUGUAAAGCACUUUAAGUUGGGAGGAAGGGCAGUAAGUUAAUACCUUGCUGUUUUGACGGUACCAACAGAAUAAGCACCGGCUAACUUCGUG